UGGGGAAUUGUUCACAAUGGGCGCAAGCCUGAUGACGCAACGCCGCGUGGGGGAUGAAGGUCUUCGGAUCGUAAACCCCUGUCGAAUGGGACGAAAGACUCGCGAGUGAAUACUUCGCGAGAGUGACGGUACCGUUAAAGGAAGCCACGGCUAACUCUGUGCCAGCAGCCGCGGUAAUACAGAGGGUGCGAGCGUUAAUCGGAAUUACUGGGCGUAAAGCGCACGUAGGUGGCGACGUAAGUCGGGUGUGAAAGCCCCGGGCUCAACCUGGGAACCGCAUUCGAGACUGUGUUGCUGGAGUACGGAAGAGGAGGGCGGAAUUCCCGGUGUAGCGGUGAAAUGCGUAGAUAUCGGGAGGAACAUCAGUGGCGAAGGCGGCCCUCUGGUCCAGUACUGACACUCAAGUGCGAAAGCGUGGGGAGCAAACAGGAUUAGAUACCCAAGUAGUCCCUGAGCGGGCUGGCAAGGCGCAU
rnacentral:rRNA from 1 species